ACAUAUAAUUCAUUUAAAGUUCUAAGAAGGCUUCCAUAGGCUUCAUCAGACUGCUUAGGUCCAUGAAGCACAAAAAGUUAAGGACCCAUAAAGUUUAAAGUAUAAAUAAGCAUGUUAACAAGAGGCACAUGCCUCCACAUUUUUUUCUUUCCAAGGUCACAAUAGUUGCAGUCCUAAAGUCCUCAUAAUCAUAAAUUCACAUAACCAGAAGAAAAAGUAUAACCUCCAGGCAGAGAAUAUAUGUGCUCCUGCCAAAAAAUACAAAGAAGAAGAAUGACAAAGAUAGGAAACAACCAAGAGAAUGUGGUUUCUUAUAAGAUGGCAGAUGGAAAGGAUAGUCAGCAUUUUCAAAAGCUGCAGAGAUGUUCAUGAAGAGAAUAAUGGAGAAGAAGCUAAUGAAUUUGGAGAUAAGGGAGUGAAGUCAAUGAGGGUCUAGGUGACCAAGAGCAGCACAAGGAAUCAAUGGAGGGAUCCACAUCUUAUAAGUCUCUAAACCCAUCAAAUUCCAGGUAUAAAAUUAAACAAUAAUUAUAAAAGUUAAACA